UGGAGGAAAGUAGGGGAUCGUAAGACCUUGCGCUUUUGGAGCGGCCGAUGUCUGAUUAGCUAGUUGGUGGGGUAAUGGCCUACCAAAGCUUCGAUCAGUAGUUGGUCUGAGAGGACGGCCAGCCACACUGGGACUGAGACACGGCCCAGACUCCUACGGGAGGCAGCAGUGGGGAAUUUUGGACAAUGGGCGCAAGCCUGAUCCAGCCGUGCCGCGUGAGUGAAGAAGGCCUUCGGGUUGUAAAGCUCUUUCAGCCGGGAAGAAAAGGCUGCGAUUAAUAAUCGCAGUUCAUGACGGUACCGGAAGAAGAAGCACCGGCUAACUACGUGCCAGCAGCCGCGGUAAUACGUAGGGUGCGAGCGUUAAUCGGAAUUACUGGGCGCAAAGGGUGCGCAGGCGGUUUUGUAAGUCAGAUGUGA
rnacentral:rRNA from 1 species